UCUACCGAAUGUCACUAUCCCUCAUUUAAAUUUCGAUAUUAUUUGGAUAUAUAAGCAAAUCAAUUUAAAGAGCAUAACCAAGAUUUCAUUCAGACAUUUCAUCAUGAAGUCGUGCUUCGACAAAUUUCAUUUACCAUUUGCCAUUUUGAAGUGAACAGAACUGCAUUACCUGAAAAAUGGCCAUCCUUAAGCGCCGGAUCACAAACGCAAAACAAAAUUUGUGACGAUGAUCAUCAAAUGGAAGUAGCACAAGAAAAUGUAUGGAUAUCCCGAAAGGCUAUUUAGCGAUUUAUGUUGGUGAGAAAGAGAAAAGGUGAUUUCUGGUUCCUAUAUCAUUGUAAAGCCAACCUAUUUUUCAAGAAUUACUAGAUCGGGCAGAGGAAGAAUUUGGGUAUGUUCACCCAAUGGGUGGCCUCACAAUCAAUGUCGUGAAUAUAUUUUCACUGAUCUUGCAUCUCGUAUUGGUGUAUUAUGACCGGCAUUCCUUGCUAUUUUGUAUUAUAACCAACUAUUAGCCGAUAAUUCUAGAUACAAUAUCAAAGAUAUGUGUAAAUUUUAAAUUUACCAAUUUUAUAUAUUUGUAUAUAUACCUUAAUAAUGAAAUUAUACGCAUUGUGGGAAAUUCGUUUUAUAUGGUAUCAGCUGGGAAAACAUAACCCUAGCCAUAUCCUUCUCCAAUCCUUCUUCUUUCUCAAGUCUUUCAUGGUUCCUCCUCAUCAGACCUCAAUACAAAAUUUCAACUUUUCACCAUCAAAUUAACCUCCUCCAAUUUCCUUCUCUGGAAUAAUCAAAUACGUCAUGUCUUAUCUUAUCAAAAUCUCCUGGGACAAUUCGAUGGUUCUGUUCCUUCACCUCCAACAACCAUCGAAUAUGACAGAAAAACCGCACGAAAUCCAGCGUACGAAACCUGGUAUAAUGCCGACCGAAAGGCCCUUCUCAUCAUCCAAUCUUCUUUAUCGGAAGAGACUAUGGCAAAAACUCCAGGCUAUGCUAUACUACUACUCAAGCGAUUUGGAGGGCUCUAGAAAGUGCUUACUCUCAUGAUUCCAGAGAAUGGAUACAAACCUUUUAGAAUGGAUAAAAACUCUUUUAGACUCUCUUCGCCAGAUUCAAAAAGGAGCCUCCUCUGUCACCUGUCACCUGAGUAUUGGCAGAAAGUUCAAGGUAACCUGUGAUCCCAUUGAUGACUCUGAUCAAGCUCACUAUUUGUUAUGUAGUCUUGGUGCUGCAUAUGAAUCAUUCUCCACUUCUCAUAGUGUUGUUACCCCUUACCCAACCUUUCGUGUACUUCUGUCGCAAGAAGAAUGUCACAAACUAUUUAUGAGCUCUCUAUAUGGUCCUGUUUCACCCCAGCCGCUUUCAAUGCUGAGUCUCACCAUGUUUCAUCUCACCAACUACCUCGAGGGGCACCUCAAAGCGAGGACGAGUCCGCUUAAACUAUUAAGGGGGAUGAGAAUGUGGCAAGAGACCACCCCAUUUCUAGCUUUGAAGAAAGAACGGGCACUAUGCCUCAACGUGUCCAGAUGUCUCCACUUAUCAACAAGGUUAAAACGCUUCAAACCGAUGUUCAUACCGAGUUUCUCAAUCAUAAAGUCCAUGAAACACCGCUUCAUAAUGACACUCACCACCAAAUCUCAUGUCCCUAUACAUCUCAACAAAAAGGUAGAGCUAAUAUACACAUGGUCAGUUCAUCGAAUCUGAUUUAGCCAUGCUAUGUAAUGCACAGUUCCUGCAUCCUAUUGGGUGCACGCUUUUACCUCGGCUUUGUAUGUAACAUCCGAAAUUCCCACGCUAAUUUUUUUCAUCUUUUAAAUAACAUAACAUCCAUUUUAAUAUUAUGACAUUUAGGGAAAACUGUUUGUUAAUAAAUCAUUAUUCAGAAAUCAGAGUUAUAAUGAAAACAAUGCAAAAUACCAAUUCAUAAAACUGUUAAUGUGUAUGUAUAGUCCCACCUUCUCAAUCCAGUAAGUACCUAUGAAAUAUUUAAUCCAAAACUAUAAGCACAAAUUUUAGUGAGUUCCCCAAAAUGUCAUAUAUAGCACAACACAAUAAUCAACUAUGGGUUAUCAGCAGCCCUGGAACUAUCAACCGUCUUGAAUAUCACAUACAACACACAAUAUAAACAACUAUGUGUUAUCAGCAACCUCAGGGACUGUCAAUACUCUUAGUGGGAUAACAGCAUGCCCUGUGACUUAACAACACACAUCACAUGUUAUCUACAACCCUAGGGACUAUCAGAAGUCCCAUGGACUCAUAGCAAUCCAUGAGUUAUCAACAACUUAGUUUACCUAUAAUAACAAUUAACAAAUAAGACCCAACUGGUCAGCAAGUAUGUACUACCACACAAACAGAUAUAGUGAGAAGACUCACCUGAACAAACAACUGAAAGCCACUACUUUAUUUCCCACUUAAUCAGCCACACAAACCACCUAAACAAAUCAUAAGCUAAACCUCAAACUAUAUCUCAACACCUCUCCAAGUUUUACCAAAACUCAAAUCGGUCAAAAAGUCAACGGUCAACAGUCAAGUUCAAAGUUAACAUCUAAAGUUAACAAUCAACAUCACUAACAACUGGCUCUCACAUCUUCACCAGCCUAUGGUCACAUCGUGGUCAAAAACUCAUCUCCAAUCCAAAACUCAAUAUUCGAACAAUUCAUCUGCGAUCAAAUCUAUUGUCAUGUCGUGUUGGCCAUGCCCCCACAUCGUAAUAGAGUCCGUCCAAAGCAAUUGGUGUCUUAACCGCUUCAAUCGGUUGUAGGCUUAAGAUCUAGAUCUCUUGUUUUACCCUAGAUCUUGAUUCACAUUAUUACACAUCUGAUUCUAUAUUCGCUUCUGUGAACUCUUGAGAAUAUGAAUCACAAAGAUCCUCAUACUCUGUGUUUCAAUCUUUCCAGUAGUAUCGGAUCUACUACUAGGAUCCUAAUCCUUUUUCCACAAGAUUAUGAAUUCUGGGCACUGCAGUUCGAAUACUAUGUUCUCGGUAUUGAAGAUCAUGUCACCAUAAUAUGAGAAGCCAUGACGCAACAGACAUUCGCUCACAUGGCUACAAGGAAAUUCAUCAAAAGUAAAGUUGAAUACAAUACAAUUCUUGUUGAAAAUAAUGAUAUUCCUCAAGAUGAAAAAGAUAAGAUGUUGAGCAACAUCAAGGUGAUGAGAAUAAUAAGGUUUUCUCUUCCUCCAGACACCUUUCAUUUGGUGAGUGCAUGCGAGAUUGCGAAGGAGAUAUGGGACAAGUUAAAAGAGCUUUAUUGAAGCAACGUUGAUUAGUAACAUUAUGUGCAAACAUUGAUUCUGUCUAAGUUUGGAGCCUUUGUUUAAAAGUCUGAUGAAAAACUCGACCACACUUUCAACCGUUUUAAUCAUCUUUUGAGUAGGAUGCUUAAGCAUAAUCUAAGGCGUGAAGUAAUAAAACAAAAAGUUAUGUUCUUGAAUGGGUUAAGGUCUGAAUGGAAAGCAAUUGUGUCUAUAGUGAAUGCUCAUGAACAGUAUAAGAGUUACUCUCUGGCAAAGCUUGUGGGAAUUCUUAUAUCCAUGAAGAUAAGGUUACGAAGGAUAUGAAGCUUGUUUCUAGUAUGGGAUCAUUGGCCUUGGUUGCGAAAGGCAAAAAGGCAGCUGAAGAAGGUUUUGAAUCUGACUUUUCAAACAGUGAACUUACCAAGGAGAAAUAUUCUUUAAUGGUAGUUAAUCCCAAAAAGUUCACUAAAAAGAAUUUUGGUCGAUUCAAGAACAGGAACAGGCAGGGAAACUUCAAUUGGGAAAAGUCAAGAGAAGAGAGAUUCAAGAACUCUCAAAAGGAAGGGGAUAAGUAGGAAAAGAAGCUGUUAGGGGAUUCAGGCUAUGACUGCAAUUACUGUUUUUAACUUUAAAAAAAGGUCUCCAUGUUUUUAAAAGUUUACGGAAAUCGUCCCUGGUUUUUCAAAGUCAACAUAAAUUGUGUAAUACAGGAUCAUUAUUUUAUUCAUUUAGAAUAAAAAUAAUUGCAAGAUGUCAUCUUUGAUAAAGGUAAUAAAUUGAAAAAAUAAACGAAAAUGGUCCGUGUUUUAAUAUGAAAUAAUUGCAAAUACAUGAAUUUUCCCCAUGAUACUAACUUUACAAAAAAAAUCCUUGUUUUUAAAAUUUUACCGAAAUGGACCCUAUUUGUUAAGAACUAACAGAAAGUGUCCAUAUGCAUAAUUAUAAAGUAAACAACAAUGUAAUUUGUAGUGCUUGUCUAAUAUAACAUCUUUACAUUUUGAAUAAAACUAAUUGUAAUAUGCUAUAUUUGACAAAGGUAAAAAAAUAAUGAACUUGAAAGAUUGAAUAUUUAAGUAUGACACUACAAUGCACAAAGCAAUGAAAAUAUAGCAUACUACACAUAAUGGGGGCAUGAUCGAAACACAAAACAAGAUGAA